rnacentral:tRNA from 1 species
AAUAAGGUAGGAUAAAUUUAGUCUGAGGGGUUCAUAUCCUCUAGGUGGUGUUUCUCUUGUUU